rnacentral:rRNA from 1 species
UCGUAACAAGGUUUCCGUAGGUGAACCUGCGGAAGGAUCAUUAUUGUAUAAUAUCCUUACCGUUAAUAAACAUUUGUAAUAAUACAAAUAAAAACAAUUUACCAAAAUAAAAAUAUAACAAAAUGAUUCCACGGAAUCAAAAGUUAAAAUCAAAAUAAAACGAAGAUGGGUUUUAUUUAUAUUGUGUGGGGGUUGGCAACCUCAUAAAAAGAUUUUAACAUUCCUAAUGUAUGUUGUGCGUAUUUGUGGCGAGUACUUACAACAACGGCGUUUCCUAUAAAAAUAAUGUUUCGAACAUGAAAAUCGAAGAAACAAAAUUCGAAAGUGGAAGUCGAAUUUAAAUAAAAUAAUUUCGAAUGUGGUAAUCAUCGAAAUAAGUGUUAAUAUAAUUGGUAGAUAUUAACUAAUUUUUAAAAUUUGUGUGUAUGUGUAUAUUCGCGUUGCGAAUAUGUAUUGUUCAUCUUAAAAUAAACAAUGUUGUACCUGGCAUCCAUCAGGUUAAUGUUUUAUAUAAAUUGCAGUAUGUGUCACCCAAAAUAGCAAACCCCAUAACCAACCAGAUUAUUAUGAUACAUAAUGCUUAUAUGAAACUAAGACAUUUCGCAACAUUUAUUUUAGGUAUAAAAAUACAUUUAUUGAAGGAAUUGAUAUAUGCCAGUAAAAUGGUGUAUUUUUAAUUUCUUUCAAUAAAAACAUAAUUGACAUUAUAUAAAAAUGAAUUAUAAAACUCUAAGCGGUGGAUCAAUCGGCUCAUGGGUCGAUGAAGAACGCAGCAAACUGUGCGUCAUCGUGUGAACUGCAGGACACAUAAACAUCGACAUUUUGAACGCAUAUCGCAGUCCAUGCUGUUAGGUACUUUAAUUAAUUUUAUAGUGCUGCUUGGACUACACAUGGUUGAGGGUUGUAAGACUAUGCUAAUUAAGUUGCUUAUAAAUUUUUAUAAGCAUAUGGUAUAUUAUUGGAUAAAAAUAAUGAUUUUUAUUCAUAAUAUUAAAAAAGAAAUGAAAAACAUUAUCCCACAUUUGAAUGU